GUUUUAAGGGGAAGAGUGAUCCGGUCUGCUUAAAGUUUGGAAAGAUACCUCUGGUUGCUGCAUGCAAAUUUGGAAGGAGGGAAGAGCAGAGAGAAGGCUGGAACAAGACCCAGGUUGCAGAAGACAAGGGACCAGACUCAAUAUCUACACAGGACUCAGAGAACCUGAGUGAUUUUCCCUGUGACAGAAGUUCCAAGGAAACCACCAUCAGGCAAAUAUAUACAGAAGGAAUGAAUCCCUGAGGAUAGAGGUGGGUGGGCAGGAGAGAAGUACAAGCAGUAAAUAUACUGACGUGCAUUCACGGAAUGGAACACGAUGCAGCAAUGAAAAAGAGACCACAUGAGAAAGUACCCAAAUCCGCAGGAGACCAAUGGGUCCCAAGUCCAGCUCCAGCCCUGCCCGUGAUAGCUCCCUGAAGAGUAUCAGAAGGAAGGCAGAAGGGAACGCGCAGGUCUAUCUCUCUGACUCACUGUUGAAGCGCAAUCGCAAACAUUAUCUUGCUUCGUAGGAACUCACGUGAUAAUAUUUGAAAGGAGCACUGGUGGGCUACCAGAUGCUUUCACAUUAAUAAUAAUCACAGCUAGCUUUUGUUGAUCACGUCCUGGGUGCAAGCACCAUGCUGAGACAUGUAUGUCCUUUAUUUCCUUUAAUCUUGACAAUGACCUGUGAGACGUGUGUUCUUCCGUAGCCUGCUUUUUUCCCCUCAGCGGUACGCUCUGGGCAUCUUUCCAUGUCAAUAAAUAUAGCUGGGGCGGUAAGUACUUGAUUCAAAGGCUGAGAAACUUAAACAGUCAGCAGCCACUGCCCAGGUGAAGAUCAAUAAUAGUUAACAUUUAUUGAGUGCGUUUAUUACACACCAGGCCCUGUGCUAAUUGUUUACCCUGAACAGUCUCCCAUUUGAUCCUUGAGGCAAUCUCAAGGUAGCUGCUAUUAUUAUUCAGAUGAGGAACCUGAAGCUCAAAGAGCUAAAGAAACCAUCCAAGGUCAGACAGCUGGUGUAAAUGGCAGAGUUAGGAUGCAAACCCAGGUCAGUCUGAUUCUGGUGCUGGGCUCACACACAGGAUAUUUGAAGGACCAGAUGGGAGCGGACACACAGGAAGAGCCCCGAGUGGAGAAAGGAGCCACUGACAAAAUUCUAAAGGCAGGCAGGAGGGUCGUGUGGGAGAGGCCAUGGAGGAGGCAAUUUCUGAAAAGCCACACAGUCUGCCGUGAAGGGGACAGGAAGGCUUCCUGGAGGUGGUCCCAUGGAGACUGUCUCCAGCCAAGAAAGGAGGUCUUUUAAUAACUUACAAGCUCCUGGGUGGUUUCACAUCAGACACACAUGGGUUCAAAUCCUCAUUGGGCCACUCUCUAGGUUCUUUUUAAAAACAGCAUGAUGGAAGUAUUAUUGACGUACAAUGAACUACCCCUAUUUAAAUCGCAUAAUUAGAUGAGUUUUGAGCCCAUGAGCCCAUCACCACAGUCAAGGGGAUGAACGUUUCCAUCACCCCAAAUUUCCUGGUGCCCAUUUAUCCUUACCUCCUUCUCCUUACCGCCCCGCACCCCAUUUCCAAGUAACCAUGGUCCCUAUAGAUUGCUUUCUUUCACUACGGAUUACUCUAAAAUUUCUGGAAUUCUAUAGAAACAGAAUCAUACAAUUUGUACUCUUUUUUUCUGGCUUCUUUCAUUGAGCAUAAUUAUUUUGAGAUUCAUUCACGUUGUUGCAUGUAUCAAUAAUUUGUUCCUUUUUAUUGCUAAGAUAUAUACUAUAC